rnacentral:rRNA from 1 species
UACAGAGGUGGCAAGCGUUGUUCGGAAUUAUUGGGCGUAAAGAGCGUGUAGGCGGCCAGGUAAGUCUGCUGUGAAAACUCGAGGCUCAACCUCGAGACGUCGGCGGAAACCAUCUGGCUAGAGUCCGGAAGAGGAGAGUGGAAUUCCUGGUGUAGCGGUGAAAUGCGCAGAUAUCAGGAAGAACACCCGUGGCGAAGGCGGCUCUCUGGGACGGUACUGACGCUGAGACGCGAAAGCGUGGGGAGCAAACAGG